UUGCCAUGGCAACACCCAGAAGUUGCCGCCCCCUUUCCAUGGCAACACCCUUAUUCUAGAAAUCCCUGCAUCAUCUCAGUUAAUUUGCUUGUAAUAGUGGCUAUACAUGUGAGUGCGGCCGUGUCCUGUCCCCAGCUGCUGCCCUGGGCGCUCUGCCUUUGGGGUCACUGUGGUUGCUCCUGAGCUUCAGUGGGACUAGAAGCUGCCUUCUGGGCAAAGCCAUGAUCCCUCCGAGGCUAAGCCCCAGUUUGGAGGCUCAGCUGCCUUGCAUCAUUCUAAGUCCUGCACCAGAGGCAGAUCAGGCUGCAUCUCCUCAGGGUGGUACCUCUAAAUCCAAAAACUCCAAAUGUCCACCCGCUCCAGUCACAUUGGAGAUACAGCUGUGGUUUGCUCCUAAGACCAACCCAGCACACGUGAGCUGGGGAGACCUGGAUUGCAUCCGCAUGUCUGUCCCAGUGGAGAUAUCACUGGAAACACUGCAGUGAUCUCUAUAAAAAUCUCAACCACCAGCUCCCGGUAGGGUCAGUGCUGCACUCUAGGAAGAGAACGGGUCUGACUCCUGAAGGAGAUGCCUCUGGGUCCAGGCUUUGUAAACCUGGGCCUUCCAGCCAGACUCCUCCGAGCUCCGUGUUCGCUGUUGCUGGGCUGAGGGGAGCCCCACUCCUUCACUGCCGACUCCUGCUCCUGGCUGCACCUGCCCUUGCAACAGCGUCUCCUCUCAA